rnacentral:misc_RNA from 1 species
GGGACUACUAGGGUAUCUAAUCCCGUUCGCUCCCCUAGCUUUCGCGCGUCAGCGUCAGGAACGAGCCAGAGAGUCGCUUUCGCCACCGGCGUUCCUCCUGAUAUCUACGCAUUUCACCGCUCCACCAGGAGUUCCACUCUCCCCUCUCGUCCUCCAGCGCGGCAGUUUCGGCUGCACUUCCUCGGUUGAGCCGAGGGAUUUCACAGUCGACUUGCCGCACCGCCUAGGCGCCCUUUAUGCCCAGUGAUUCCGAGCAACGCUUGCCACCUCCGUCUUACCGCGGCGGCUGGCACU